AUGUCUGCACCUCUUCCCACCACCACGCUUCCACCGCAGCCGACCACCACCUCGCCGCCGGCCACCUCCGCGGCUAGGGCGCCGUCCUUGUCGGGGCCGAUGUCUUCCGCCGCUCGCCCCCCUCCCCCUGUCGUCUACACCCCGAAGGAGAUGACGGCUGUCCUCCGAGACCUCACCCAGGCGGUCGCGGGCAUCCGCACUUUUCUCGCCAGCCACUACGGGCCGCAGCCGCCGAGGCCCUUCGCCACCGCGCCACCGCCGCACCCCUCGGCGACGCCCUUCGCUCCCGCCGCGCAACAGCCGCCACCCGCGGCGCACAUCGGCGCCUCCACCAUACAGCCGCAGCAACAGCCCCAUGUCGCGCCCACCGUGGCGCUGUCGCACCAGCAGUUGUAG
rnacentral:rRNA from 1 species